CCGACCCGAGCCUCGGAAAAGCGCGAUUGGGGGGCCCCGAGGGCGGCCACAUCUCGAGGAGUGCGGGGGUGGCCGGUCAGAGCCUAGAAUUUCAAAUUCUAGCUGGCCACAUGUCUUCCCAGAAUAAAAGCAAGUUUCUCGGACUCCUUUGCAACUAGGUAUGGUCCUAUAGCUCAUUUCCAGCCAACAGGAGCUUCCCACCACAGGAGAAUGAAAGACCAAGAAAAACUUGCUGGACACCAGGAGUCGGACCACACAAGGCAUUGAAACUGUCCUGAGGGCACCAGAUUGCACCCUGCCUUCCGCCCACAUUACAAGCCCAAGGACUCGGCCCCGAAUCCAUUCACAACAACAGCUUCCCGCUAGAGACUGCAUACAAGGAGGAAACUCAGCUCCUGGCUGCUGCCAGCGUCGACCCAAUGUCCCCUUCCCUUUGGGUAUCCUCUCCCCCAUCCUCUCCCCUUAAAUACAUUUAGCCGCCUGCACAUGCCAACCACCAGGUUAACCUUUCAGGCCCCUCCCCCCCCAUAUUUGGUGACUCAGCCUGUCACCUCCUAGCAUAGGACCACCUUUCAAGACCAGGUGUUGGAAUUUGAUAGCUCAGGAGGGAAUUGCCUUGCCCAAGGCUCACCAAAGCCCCUGUCCUCGUUUCUGGACAACUGGUGAGUGAUCCCAGCUCCAGGCGCCUGGUGGCGUCAGUUGAAACCUCCCUUGAAAUGGCCUGACAGUUCAAUUUCUCCUCUCACCCCAUCCUGCUUCCCCCACUUCCUGCUCACACAUCUCUGGAUCAGCUUCUGUUUCCUAUGCCUUGGCCUCCACACAUGCCAUCACUUCCUCUUACAACCUCUUCUGCCUGUGUGAGGGCACGCAGGGAAGUAAAAACCACCCAGCCUAGUCCCUCAGCCAAACCCUUCAGGGGAAGACACCUGGAGGUGUCCCCACGUCACCGGCUCCCCAUGUUAUUGGUGGAAGUGGAGUUCUUGCAAUGUCACAAGGAAAAGAAUUUCCUGAGACUCGAACUGGAGGAUAAGUGAUAUUUAUUCGAAUGAAAAUAAACUCCUGGUUUCCAUUUGUCCCAUUUCCCUCCAUCCUGUCAUGUAAAAGUCUGACCGUGUCUUCAGCAGGGCCAGAGUAAAGGCCACCGCCCGUAGUUGCUGCUCCAUAUUAAAGCCCAGGCCAGUCCAGCAUCCUGCCUGUGGCAUCUUCACAGCCGUGGGCCCUGUGGCUGCUAAGGCCAUAUGGUUGUGGAGAGAGAAUGUGUGAUUGCAAGGACGAGUGUGGGUCUUGCAGCAAGGGAGAGGAAGAAGCCAGGGAAUUCUGUCUGGGGAUUUUACCAGGAGCUGCUCCUAACUAACCAAUGAACUUUCCAAGAUUUUGCACGCUUCUGGUGGGGUCCACCCCCUAGCCAAUCCGUUGUUCCCCAGGCUAGACUGACAGGCAAGCACCUCCCCUGUGCCAUCCUGACUUCAACUGCGCAUGUGCCUAUCUCCCCCUUCUCACCCCAACAAUCCAGUACUGAUGGGGGAGGGGUGUUAAUCCCCUUGGAGGACAAUGCUGCGUCGCUGGGCGUGAAGCUGUGAAACAGGCUUAUGCUCCCCAGCUGAAUAUGCUUAACCA